GGAACUUCGCAUUCUUGUUGUGGACCCCCGGUUCCCUGGUUCGUGCCACGACUCUUGGGUGUGGCAGCGUAACCCACUGCGUGCACGCCUAGCCGCACAACUGCAGCCUGGCGAGUAUCUGCUUGGAGACUCAGGAUAUCCUCUCGAGCCAUGGCUGCUUGUUCCAGUACCUGGCAGCCAUGCCGGCACCAGCUCUGAAGGCCACUACAACCAGGAGCACGCAUCCAUGCGCAAUGUUGUGGAGAGAUGUAUCGGGGUGUUGAAAAGCAAGUUCCGCUGCUUGCAGCGCUUUCGGACACUGCUGUACAGCCCCGAUAGAGCAGCGCGAAUCAUUUAUGCAUGCGUUGCUCUCCAUAACAUUGCCUUGGACGCGGGCGACUGGACAUUGGAGGAUUAUGGUGGGGAAGUGCCACCAGCUGAGGAGCCAGAGGAGCCAGGAGACAUCCAGGUGCUGGCACCACAAGACGUGUUCCUCAGAGGAAGGCAGCAGCGCAGCGCAGUUGUCAACCUUUUCUGAAGGACACAGGAAUGGUGCUCAGUGAUGUCCUGCGCUAUGGCGCGCACCUGCUCCAGGAUCCCCUCCUGGGCUGCUGCCGUCCGCUCUGCCGCGACAGCGAGGCGGGUUGUGGAGGCCUCGAUUCUGCGCAGCACCUGGAAUGAA